CCAGUUUUUCAGUCCACACUUGUCAGAUCGUCUGCAAGCCUGCAUCGGAAUCCUGCCUGCCUGCCUGCCUGCCUGCCUGCCUGCCUGCCUGCCUGCCUGCCUGCCUGCCUGCCUGCCUGCCUUCAACUCUGACUCCUGAUCUGUGAUCCCGGAGUCCUGUUACUACUACUCUGAUCUCCAGCCCCGGACUGUCUCGUCUCUCUCCUCGAACUCAGCUGAUCCACGCGGUUGAAGGUGAUGACGUCACUUUUCAAUGUUUUCUGGACCCCCCUGUCAACUUGUCCACUCGCGCAGUGGAAUGUAAUACCAUUAAGAACAAGGUGGUGCACUUCUCUCGAGGAGCAUGGGACGACCCUGGUGCACCAAGUGAUGAAUACAGAAACAGAGUAACUCUCAAUCAUGGAUACCUGUCCAGAGGAGUCGUGACUCUGCACAUCUCCUUAGUAAAUCUGUCAGACAAUGAAACGUACAGAUGCUUUGUCCCAAAACUGACAGCUGUUUCAUUCACCGUUCGUUGGUAAGCAUGCUGAGUUUAACACUGCACAUUACGGGAGCAACAAGUGCAUUUAUGUUUUAGUGCAGCGUUACAAUGCUUUAAACAACUGAGUCUUACUUUCUCCAUGCUCUCUAAAUAUAAGGUACAUAUUGUGUGAGAGAAAGUUAUGUAACAUUACUGUCAUGUCUUUAGUUGGUUAGAAAUGUAUUUAGAUGUAUUUUAAACUCUGAUCUCCGGUCAGAAAACACUGCUGUCUUAUAAUUUGCUAACUUCAGUAGAUAUCUCUGUAACACAACACAGACAUCAACACUGUUACCUUCACACUCUGUUCAUAAUGUUCAUUGUUUUAAUGGUUUAUAUUCUGGCAGAUCUUACACACUGAACCUUUUAAGUCAUAAACACAUAAAGAAAAACUAUUUAGAUCAAACUGUUUCCCCUCACUUGUCUCUCAAGGCUUCUGUAGAACCGGUCAACUAAGUCUUUUAUAAUUCAAGAUUAACAUAAUGAGGACUUCCGGUUGGGCGAACAUGUGAGGGCAGCGUUGUCUCGUUCUCCCACGACUCUACUUUAUGAACAUUUCAUUUAUAACCACCGAAUUUGAGCUAAAACAGUAUUUGUGAACAUAAUUUGGACUCUA
rnacentral:lncRNA from 1 species